GCAGAAGUGGGGAAACGGGAGCCAGAAAGCCAAGCCAUGUGCAGAAGGGCACCAUCUGGUCAACGGAGCUGGGGUUAGAAUCCGGCGUCCUGAAUCUCCCAUGUGGGAAGACAGUGCGAAUAGUGAAGAGAAUGUGAGCUUUAGAGUCAGAAAUAACUGGAUUUGAACCCCAGUGCUGCUACUUACAAGAAUCCUGGUCUUGAGCCAUUCUACUUGCAGUACAGGGGAUAGCUGAAGAGAAAAUCCUGACUCAUAUCCUGCAAUUUAUCAAGCUCAGUGGAAAGAGAUAGCUCACUAACAAGGCGAAAAGCAAAGGAAGAAUCGUCCUGACUGAGAUCACAUGCUUCAUGCCCAUUCCUUAACCCGUCUCUUUGACUAAAGGAAGAAAUACUUUGAUGAGGGUUUAUAACCACGAGGACCACCCCUGUGAUAGAUGAAUGGAGUGAGUAGGGUUAUCUCAACCGCAGAACCAUGGGAAAGAGUGCUUUUUAUACUGGAAAGUUCUGCCACACCACUCAAUGUAAGCAAUCAUAAAGAAUUCAUUGGCCUAUUGCUUUCGGUAACUAUUUUUAGGAAAGUGUUAUGGUAGAGGUCUCUGGAAAGAGAGUGGCUUCCAGAAACCAGGAGGCAUAAUUUGGCAGCAGAAUGGGUACCCGGGGUGUAUUGGCGACUUCUGUUUACAGAAGGCAAUGCUCUCUAGGCUACUUAUGCCCAUGCCUGCCUUCACUUUACUCUUCAGAACAACCCUGUGAGGUAUAUGUUAUUAUUCCUCAUUUAUGAUUAAAAAAGUAAAUUGACCUAGGUCACAAGCUUGGUCACAAUCAAAGUUCAGUUUUGAACCCAGAUCUAUUUCUGAAAACCAUGUGCUUUUCAACAUAUGGUAAUGUUCUAAAUGCAAAAUGUUGGCAUCUUGACAAAGUAAGCAGAGGUUUUCAUUUUGUGUUGCUUUCCCUCUUCCUUUCCUCUAAGAAAAAAGAACAUGUUACCUGUUAGAGAUCAACUUUGGGAAAGUGAUACAUUCUGAGGAUCUAGGAGCUGGGAGGUCGUAAGCAUUGAAAGCAGCAAAAAGGAUGGGAAAGUCCUUUGGUGGUGAGCUUAGGACAGAUUUUCUUUUCUACUUAUAACAUUAAAAGAAUGGAGAUUUGCUGAGAUUUUCCACUUCUAUAUAUAAUCAGCAAAUUUGUUAUUUGUCACAGAUUUUAUAUUAAGUAGUUGGUACGGAAUGUCAGACUGUACUAUUCCCUCACAUAACAACUAUUUAUUGAAUUUUUACUAUAACAUAAGCAUUAAAAAAAGAAACCUAAGGGCAUAAAAUAUCUAAUAAAAUGGUAAAAAUCAAGUUUUAAAGAUUAAAUAAAGGAAAGUACAAAAGGAAAGACUAAAAUUCAGCUAAAUCAACAAAAAUCUCGCAGGCCACCUCAUGUACUUUGAUGGCGUUCACCCUCCCAAAUCUAGAGAAACAAUGUGUUAUGGCCAAGUUUAGCUCUUAUUCUUCCUCCUACAAAAUUACAGUAGACUAUGAACUUGUGGUUUCUGUCCAAGUGAAAACUUCCCACGAUUAUAUUCCUGACAUUUUACUAUAUAAAAAGAAGAGUCUAAUUUCUCUACAGAAAAACAGGAUUUCAAAAUUAAACCUGGGAGAGUGAAGAGUUCAAACUACACAAUCUCUCAGUUAUUUGUAGUGACCUUUAGCAACACUUGGUUGGAGCCACCAAAGAGCAAAAUUCUUCAUUUAUAGUUUUUCAUUUUUAAAAAAAGUAUCUAUGAAUAAAGAUCCAAAAGUCUCAAAGGGAGCUUCAUAGAGUUGUUCAAUCCAGAAUAGAAAUCAUCAGGAUUCACAAAUAUUUGUGCAGAAAAGCCUGCAUAGUUAUUCAACUCCUGGAGGAAUAAUUCCUAAAUCUUAGCAUGGCACACUGGGCGUCUAAGUUCAAGUUCCUACCUACUUUUUACCUUUUAUGUGAGUAAUACUUUCUCACCCUCUCAGGACCUAAAGCCCUUGCUAUUUCUGAAUGUCAUGUUGCUUUUUGCCUCUAUGCCUUUAUUUAUACUUAUCUUUUUGGGCAAAAGUCUUUUUUUACACUUUUAGAACUAGCAAACUCAAAUGCAUUCUUCAAAAUUGAACUCAAACAAAAUUCAGGGUAUUGUUACCAAUGGAAAAAGUUUUAACCCAAGUGCCUGUUCUCCCAAAGUGUUUUUAAAAAUUUGUUUGCAUACCUCUAUUAUAGCUCUUUUAUUACAUUAAUUUAUACCAAAUUAA
rnacentral:lncRNA from 1 species